UACGACUGAAACUGUACAAUCUGUCGUCAUCGCUACGUACUCUUGUAGUGCAGGACAUACAUUGAAAGACGGAGGUAUUACAAGAGUCUGUUUGCCAAAUGGAGUGUGGAGUGGAAAUCAACCAUCGUGUAAACCUUGCAGCUGCGAUUCUACUCAAUCACGUCGAGAUGCCAACAGGAAACGUCACGCCGUUGUUUUGCUGCAAAUAACUUCUUCAGCGCAAGAAAUACAAGAAAAAAUAUCAUACAAAGCUAAAAUUAAAAAGGUCUGCCGCGCCAACAAUGCCGUUGCACGCAAGAUAAAUGCUGGACAGUUUGCUUCGCUUGCUGUAACACAGCGAACUCAAGAUGGAACUUGCCGCUGCCCGGACUUUCAGAGAAAAGUUGUGUACGCAGUAGGAGUUAACAUCAAUAGCAAAUCUGGAAAAAUUUGGAAACUUGAAGUACCGCGAAAAUUUUAGUUGGCUGAAUCCAAAGUUUGCUAACUUGCAAUAUUUUAUAUUGCUAUAUUAAUGGUUGUUACAAAAGCACGUAUUAUUGGAUAUUACCGACGUGCCUUGAAUAACGUUUGUGUGAAGUUAUGAGCA